CCUACGGGGGGCUGCAGUGGGGAAUAUUGCUCAAUGGGCGCAAGCCUGCUCCAGCAACGCCGCGUGACUGAUGAAGGCUUUCGGGUUGUAAAGCUCUGUCCUCAAGGAAGAUAAUGACGGUACUUGAGGAGGAAGCCCCGGCUAACUACGUGCCAGCAGCCGCGGUAAUACGGGGGGGGCUAGCGUUAUCCGGAAUUACUGGGCGUAAAGGGUGCGUAGGUGGUUUCUUAAGUCAGAGGUGAAAGGCUACGGCUCAACCGUAGUAAGCCUUUGAAACUGGUGAACUUGAGUGCAGGAGAGGAGAGUGGAAUUCCUAGUGUAGCGGUGAAAUGCGUAGAUAUUAGGAGGAACACCAGUUGCGAAGGCGGCUCUCUGGACUGUAACUGACGCUGAGGCACGAAAGCGUGGGUAUCAAACAGGAUUAGAUACCCCAGUAGUC
rnacentral:rRNA from 1 species